GUCCACGCCCUAAACGAUGUCAACUGGUUGUUGGGUCUUCACUGACUCAGUAACGAAGCUAACGCGUGAAGUUGACCGCCUGGGGAGUACGGCCGCAAGGUUGAAACUCAAAAGGAAUUGACGGGGACCCGCACAAGCGGUGGAUGAUGUGGUUUAAUUCGAUGCAACGCGAAGAACCUUACCAAGGCUUGACAUGCACUUGAAAAAACGUGGAAACACGUUCCCUCUUCGGAGCAAAGUGCACAGGUGGUGCAUGGCUGUCGU
rnacentral:rRNA from 1 species